UUUAUUUUUGCAGGUACCACAUAUGGAAAUGAAAUCAGACCAACCAAAUCUGAGGAGUUUACUGUUGAAGGUUCAAGUGUUACAUUAUCCUGCAGUUAUUCAUCUGCACAGUCUUUAUUCUGGUACCGUCAGUAUCCCGGAUCAGCUCCUGAAUUCCUUGUAAUCCUCUUUUAUGGUGCAAAAGACGCUAAGAAGUCUGAUGUAGAUCCCAGAUUCACUGCUAAACCCAACAAAGAAAAGCAAAACCAUGUGGAUCUGGAGAUCUCCUCUGCUAAAGUGACAGACUCUGCUUUGUACUACUGUGCCCAGGACGCCAGUGACAGGAAAACACAACAAGAAGACUGUACUGUGACCCUCAGCUGCACAUAUGAUACAAGCAGCAAUUAUGCUUAUUUGUACUGGUAUAGACAGUAUCCUAAUGAAGAGCUUCGCUAUUUGUUAUUCAAGCCUGCACGAUCGGGUAGUGCAAGUGGGAGCCCCGAUGAUCCUCGCUUUCAGUCGACUACAUCACAAACGUCCACUGAACUCACUAUUACUGGUGCAACUCUGUCAGAUUCAGCUCUCUAUUAUUGUGCUCUAAGAGUUGGAGCACAGUGAUACAAAGUUUGUAUGAAGCUGUACAAAAACUCAAAUUCAUUUUCCCCUUUGAUGUCAAGCC